UCAAGCGAACAAGGGCGCAGGGCGAAUGCCUUGGCACUGGGAGCCGAUGAAAGACGUGAUAAGCUGCGAUAAGCUUCGGGGAGCUGCAAAUAAGCAUUGAUCCGGAGAUUUCUGAAUGAGGAAACUCACCUGGGUUCAUACUCAGGUACGUUAUACUGAACUUAAAAAUAGGUAUAUCGAGGGAACCGCCUGAACUGAAACAUCUAAGUAGGGCGAGGAAGAGACAUCAAACGAGAUUCCGUAAGUAGUGGCGAGCGAACGCGGAAGAGGGCAAACCGGGAGUAGAAAUACUUCCGGGGUACGGACCGCAUUUAGGACUUGAGUUGUUAACCGAACGGCAUGGGAAGGCCGGUCAGAGAGUGUGAGAACCACGUAGGUGAAAACGACAAGAGCUGAGCGAGUUCCAGAGUACGGCCAGACACGUGAAACCUGGUCGGAAUACGGGGGGACCACCCUCCAACCCUAAAUACUACCCAGUGACCGAUAGCGUAUAGUACUGUGAAGGAAAGGUGAAAAGCACCCCGGGAGGGGAGUGAAAAAGAACCUGAAACCCUGUGCCUACAAGCACCUAGAGCACGUCAAUGUGUGAUAGGGUACUUUUUGUAGAACGGUCCGGCGAGCGAUUGUAUGCAGCAAGGUUAAGGACUUAAGGUCUGGAGCCGAAGCGAAAGCGAGUUUGAAAAGGGCGUUAAGUUGCAUACAAUGGGCCCGAAACCGGGUGACCUACCCAUGGUCAGGUUGAAGUGGAAGUAAAAUUCCAUGGAGGACCGAACCGACCUCCGUUGAAAAGGCGGCGGAUGAACUGUGGGUAGCGGAGAAAUUCCAAUCGAACCCGGAGAUAGCUGGUUCUCCCCGAAAUAGUUUUAGGACUAGCCUCAAGUUAGAUACCUGGAGGUAAAGCACUGAAUAGCCUAGCGGCCGAGAGGUUAGCGAAGCUUAUCAAACUCAGAAUGCCAGAGUAUUGAUGCUUGGGAGUCAGACAGUGUCAGAUAAAUGUCAUUGUCAAAAGGGAAACAGCCCAGAUCUACAGCUAAGGUCCCAAAGUCAGGUUAAGUGGAAAACGAUGUGAAGAUACGUAGACAACCAGGAUGUUGGCUCAGAAGCAGCCACACAUUCAAAGAGUGCGUAAUAGCUCACUGGUCGAGCGUCUUUGCGCGGAGAAUUUAACGGGGCUAAACCUGACACCGAAGCUUAGGCAAUACAGCAAUGUAUUGGGUAGGGGAGCGUUGUAUACGCGGUGAAACAGUAGCGCAAGCGGCUGUGGAGUGUAUAGAAGUGAGAAUGCCGGAAUGAGUAGCGCGAAUGCAGUGAGAAUCUGCAUGGCCGAAAGCCUCAGGUUUCUGGAGGAAGGUUCGUCCGCUCCAGGUUAGUCGGGAGCUAAGGUGAGGCCUAACGGCGUAGCCGAUGCACAGACGGUAGAGAUUCCGUCACCACCAAAAGAGUUAAACACAGGGACACAUUUGAAGUCUCGGAGCCGGGUGUUGGUUCCGGUAGCGAUCGAGGGAAAUUAGUACCGAAGUCCGGGAUGGAAGAUGGCGAGAAAAGCUGUGUGUAUUUCUGCGGUGCCCGUACCGCAAACCGACACAGGUAGGUAGGAAGAAGAUUCUAAGGCCAACGGGAGAAGGGUUGUUAAGGAACUCGGCAAAUUGACCCCGUAACUUCGGGAGAAGGGGUGCUCCAGAGAUGGAGCCGCAGAGAAUCGGCCCAAGCAACUGUUUACCAAAAACACAGGUUUGUGCUAAAUCGAAAGAUGACGUAUACGAGCUGACGCCUGCCCGGUGCUGGAAGGUUAAGAGGAGAUGUGCAAGCAUUGAAUCGAAGCCCCAGUGAACGGCGGCCGUAACUAUAACGGUCCUAAGGUAGCGAAAUUCCUUGUCAGGUAAGUUCUGACCCGCAUGAAAGGCGUAAUGAUUUGGGCACUGUCUCGACAGCCCGCCCGGCGAAAUUGUAGUACCGGUGAAGAUGCCGGUUACCCGCGACAAGACGGAAAGACCCCAUGGAGCUUUACUGUAGCCUAAUAUUGGGUUUCGAUGUUGCAUGCACAGGAUAGAUGGGACACAGGGAAACAAGUGCUUUGGCAUUUGUGGAGUGGCCGUUGGGAUACCAUCCUUGCGAUAUUGGAAUUCUAACCUGCGCCUUUGAAUCAAGGCGGGGGACAUUGUUAGGUGGGCAGUUUGACUGGGGCGGUCGCCUCCUAAAGAGUAACGGAGGCGUUCAAAGGUUCGCUCAGCUUGAACGGAAAUCAAGCAAAAGAGUGCAAACGCAGAAGCGAGCCUAACUGCGAGACUGACGGGUCGAGCAGUAACGAAAGUUGGAGUUAGUGAUCCGGUGGUAUGUGAGUGGAAAUGCCAUCGCUCAACGGAUAAAAGUUACCCUGGGGAUAACAGGCUGAUCUCCCCCAAGAGUCCACAUCGACGGGGAGGUUUGGCACCUCGAUGUCGGCUCAUCGCAUCCUGGGGCUGUAUUCGGUCCCAAGGGUUUGGCUGUUCGCCAAUUAAAGCGGUACGCGAGCUGGGUUCAGAACGUCGUGAGACAGUUCGGUCCCUAUCUGUCGUGGGCGCAGGAUAUUUGAUGGGAGCUGUUCCUAGUACGAGAGGACCGGAGCGGACGUACCUCUGGCGCACCAGUUGUUCUGCCAAGGGCAUAGCUGGGCAACUAUGUACGGAUCGGAUAAACGCUGAAAGCAUCUAAGCGUGAAGCCGACCCAAAGAUAAGAUAUCCCAUUGUUUUAAACAAGUAAGACCCCUUGAAGACUACAAGGUUGAUAGGCACGAUGUGUAAGUGGAGUGAUCCAUUCAGCAAGCGUGUACUAAUAGGUCGAGGGCUUGACCAC
rnacentral:rRNA from 1 species